ensembl:lncRNA
AUGCCAGCGUUCUGGUAAGAGACGCUGUGCUCUGCCCGACAAGGUACUUUGGAAAAAGUACAAAGUUGGCGUUUUCUCUACAACAGACAGCUACAGCCUGGCCAGGGAGAGGGCAAGAAAGGGGCAAGACACCUCUCAGGUGGAAACGGUGGAGAUAAAUUCGAGGAGGAUAAACGUUCCUGCCAGGUACCAGGAGCCUGAUAGUGACGAUGAGGAAGAAGUAAUAAAGAAAAAAAAAAAAAGAACAAUAAAACCUGGAGUGUUGCCAAGAAGGCCUGCGUUCCCUUCACCACCUAUCAUCACACCUGUCAGGGUCGAUGAUGAAGGCAUGGCUGGUGUAUCAGCUGCUGGAAUCCAACCACAUAAUAUUACUCCAUGUGAAUCCUCCACCAUCGGGGGAGAAACCUAUGAGGCCUUUCAAGAGAUUUUCAGUUUCCUGGAGGGUAUGGAGAGGAGGAUUAUGCUGAAGUUGGAAAGGAUGCACGAGGACAUAAGAAAUGGCAAUGGUAGAGUCAUGGAGGCUGUGGAGUCCAGGCCAGGAAGGACAUCUGAGGCAGCU